rnacentral:rRNA from 1 species
GCGCGAAAACUUUGCACUGUGCGAAAGCACGACAAGGGAAUCCCAAGUGCUGGCUCGUAAGAGUCAGCUGUUUUUCUGUCUAAAACGCAGAGAGAGUAAGGGCUGGGUAAGACGGGUGCCAGCCGCCGCGGUAAUACCUGCAGCCCAAGUGGUGGCCGUUAUUAUUGGGCCUAAAAACGUCCGUAGCCGGUUCUAUAAAUGCCUGGGUAAAUCGUACGGCUUAACCGUACGAAUUCCGGGUAGACUGUUCAACUUGGGACCGGGAGAGGCUAGAGGUACUCCUGGGGUAGAGGUGAAAUUCUGUAAUCCUAGGGGGACCACCAGUGGCGAAGGCGUCUAGCUAGAACGGGUCUGACGGUGAGGGACGAAGCCCUGGGGCGCAAACGGGAUUAGAUACCCCGGUAGUCCAGGGUGUAAACGCUGCUUGCUUGAUGUUAGUCGGGCUCCGAGCCCAACUAGUGUCGGAGAGAAGUUGUUAAGCAAGCUGCCUGGGGAGUACGGCCGCAAGACUGAAACUUAAAGGAAUUGGCGGGGGAGCACCGCAACGGGUG